UGUGUGUGUGUGUGAGUGUGCAUGUGAGUGUGUGGUGUAUAUGUGAUUGUGUAGUGUGUGUGUGUAGAGAGAGUGUGUGGUGUGUUUGGAGUGUGUAGAGUAUGUGUGUGGGAUGUGCAUGUGAAUGUAUGUGUGUGUGUGUUUGAGCGUGGUGUGCAUGUGACUGUGUGUCUGUGGGAGUGUGGUGUGCUUAUGAGUGUGUAUGUGUAUGGAGUGUGUGUGUGUGAGAGAGAGAGUGUGUAUUUUCUAUGGUUCUGGGCAUGGUAAGAGAAUGUGUCUGUUGUGUUAAAUUACUUGGUUUGUGGCAUUUUGUCUCUGCAGCCCUAAACUCAGUGGUUCCCAAGACAUGGAUGCCUCCCAGUGAUGAAGAAUCCAGGAAUCCAAACAAAGUAAAGGUGAAGAUAAAAGGCGAGAAGACAGCUGGGAAGAAUGGAUCAGUCAUCAAUGUGCUUGCUACAUAAGCCUGAGGACCUGGUGUUUGAGUCUCAGCAUCUAUGCAGUUUGUGUGUUUGUAAUUCUAGCACUAGAGAGGCAGAGAUAGAAAGACUCCUGAGUAUCACUGGCCAGACAGUCUAGCUCAAUUGGUAAGCUUUAGCUUUCGUUAAAAGACCCCAUCUUAAAAGGUUAAGAAGUACAAAACACCCAUGGAAGGAGUUACAGAGACAAAGUUUGGAGCUGUGACGAAAGGAUGGACCAUCUAG
rnacentral:lncRNA from 1 species